CAUGCAAGUCGCGCGGCCAGCAAUGGCAGCGGCGGACGGGUGAGUAACGCGUAGGAAUGUGUCCAGAGGUGGGGGACAACCCCGGGAAACUGGGGCUAAUACCGCAUAUGUCCUGAGGGACAAAACAGUAAUGCGCCUUUGGAGCAGCCUGCGUCCGAUUAGCUUGUUGGUGGGGUAAUGGCCUACCAAGGCUGCGAUCGGUAGCUGGUCUGAGAGGAUGAUCAGCCACACUGGGACUGAGACACGGCCCAGACUCCUACGGGAGGCAGCAGUGGGGAAUAUUGGACAAUGGGCGCAAGCCUGAUCCAGCAAUGCCGCGUGUGUGAAGAAGGUCUUCGGAUCGUAAAGCACUUUCGACGGGGACGAUGAUGACGGUACCCGUAGAAGAAGCCCCGGCUAACUUCGUGCCAGCAGCCGCGGUAAUACGAAGGGGGCUAGCGUUGCUCGGAAUUACUGGGCGUAAAGGGCGCGUAGGCGGCUUGGCCAGUCAGGCGUGAAAUUCCUGGGCUUAACCUGGGGACUGCGCUUGAUACUGCUGAGCUUGAGGCCGAGAGAGGGUGGUGGAAUUCCCAGUGUAGAGGUGAAAUUCGUAGAUAUUGGGAAGAACACCGGUGGCGAAGGCGACCACCUGGCUCGGUACUGACGCUGAGGCGCGACAGCGUGGGGAGCAAGCAGGAUUAGAUACCCUGGUAGUCCACGCCCUAAACGAUGUGUGCUGGAUGUUGGGG
rnacentral:rRNA from 1 species